rnacentral:rRNA from 1 species
UACGAAGGGGGCUAGCGUUGCUCGGAAUUACUGGGCGUAAAGGGCGCGUAGGCGGCUAUUUAAGUUAGAGGUGAAAGCCCAGGGCUCAACCCUGGAACAGCCUUUAAUACUGGAUAUCUUGAGUUCGGGAGAGGUGAGUGGAACUCCGAGUGUAGAGGUGAAAUUCGUAGAUAUUCGGAAGAACACCAGUGGCGAAGGCGACUCACUGGCCCGAUACUGACGCUGAGGCGCGAAAGCGUGGGGAGCAAACAGG